GACGAACGCUUGCGACGUGCCUAAGAAAUGCAAGUCGAACGGGGGAGCAAUCCCUAGUGGCGAACGGUCGCGUAACACGUGGGCAACCUGCCCUGAAGCGGGGGACAACAGCUUGAAAGAGCUGCUAAUACCGCAUGUGAACGGGAAUGGCAUCAUUCUUUGUUCAAAGGACUUCGGUUCACUUCAGGAUGGGCCCGCGUCCUAUCAGCUAGUUGGUGUGGUAACGGCGCACCAAGGCUUCGACGGGUAGCUGGUCUGAGAGGACGAUCAGCCGGAU
rnacentral:rRNA from 1 species